GUUGAAGAGAAAACUCCUCCCAGCAAUGACGUAUCAUCAUCACAUCCUUUCCUUCUUAAACCUCAGUUAUGUCAGCUGGGCUGUUAAUUCUUAGUAUAAACACUUGGUGUGAUCUAAUUCUAGUCUUUUAAAUCCACUAAACUCUGUUUAUCAAGCUUCUAAAUGCUUAGAAAGUCUAAAGGCUUUAUGUUGUUAAAGAUAAAAUGAUCUGCUUUCUAAUUUUCUGCUGCCUACCAGGGGUUUUUCUCGGGCUUGAGGUCCGUCAGUCUUCUUCUGAUAUCAUCGCGAAUGUUAGUUCAAAAGUGCAGAUUUUCUGCAUCCAUGAUAAAACUGACUACUAUGUGAUGCUCUGGUACCAGCGUCCACCCGGGGAAACAGCCAUGAAACUCAUCGGGUAUUUGUACCACAAACAAGUCACAAUGGAAGAUCAGUACAAAAGCAAUUUCAUUAUUUCUGGAGAUUUGACUGGGAGUACAGCAAAAAACAGCUCUCAGAUAGCCAACGCUGCACAACAAGGGGACAGUGCCGUCUACUACUGCGCAGCAAGCAAAGCACAAUGACAGAAAUCCUCUGUGAACAUUACAAAAACUCCAUAAUCUGGAACCAUCAGUGGUUUGAAACCAGAAUGGAAACAAACUGACAUCAGACACCUGGUUUUGUACUUUUGGUUUUUAAUUGACAUAUUAUUUUGUUGAUUUUUUCCAAUUACUCAUAAUAAAAGGUAAUUAUUUCUAAUAAAUAAAAAUCUUUUAAAGCAGCAUAUCUUAUAUGGAUGAUUAAAAUAAGAGCAUAUAUUCUGUAUAACCUGCAGGACUGCAAUGAUACACCAUCUAAAAAAAACUGCUAACAUUCCCAAGUUUGAGGUUUGUUUUAUAUUUACAAUGCAGUAAAUCUUUGCUCAUCAAAACAUUUAUCAUUGGCGGGACUUUUAGAAAAGGAUUAUGAGCAUUUUCCAUAUUUUCUGAUAUUUAACAAGCUAAACAAUAAAAGAAUUAAAAACUAAAAUAUCUUCAUCUCCAGCUGAAGCCACUCCCCUUCUGCCUACAUCUUACUACCGUAGCUUCUUCCUGAAAUGGCAAUCAGCUCAGUGACAUGGUGCUUUCAGCAGAGACUGUUUUAAUUUAAACGCUUCAGCACAUUCAUGACUUUAUCGCCACAUCUCUACAUUAUGAUUAGAUUUCUUUUUUUCUUUUUCCUCACAGCAGGCAUCUCUCUGGGGAUAGAGGUCCGUCAGUCUCCGUCUGCUGUAAUCAAAAAGGUCAAUGAUGAUGUACAGCUAAUCUGCACCCAUGAUAAAAGUGACUACAGAGUGAUGCUUUGGUACCAGCGAUUACCCGGAGAGACAGCUCUGAAACUUGUUGGAUAUGGAUAUACACAGUUCAAAGAUGACAGCGCGGAGGAACCGUUUAGAGAAAAUUUCAAAUUAGAGGGGGAUUUGAAUUCGAAUAAAAAGAACGGCUCACUUUUC